GUCCGACUGACGAGUCCCAAACAGGACGAAAUGCGUUCCAAACCGGAU
rnacentral:hammerhead_ribozyme from 1 species